GUCCCAGUAGCGCAAGCAAUGGAUAUCGCGUUGGACUUCUAAUCCAAAAGUCGUGGGUUUGAAUCCUACCUGGGAUG